UACGUAGGGCGCAAGCGUUGUCCGGAAUUAUUGGGCGUAAAGAGCUCGUAGGCGGCUUGUCACGUCGGGUGUGAAAGCCCGGGGCUUAACCCCCGGGUCUGCAUUCGAUACGGGCUAGCUAGAGUGUGGUAGGGGGAGAUCGGAAUUCCUGGUGUAGCGGUGAAAAUGCGCAGAUAUCAGGAGGAACACCGGUGGCGAAGGCGGAUCUCUGGGCCAUUACUGACGCUGAGGAGCGAAAGCUAGGGGAGCGAACGGG
rnacentral:rRNA from 1 species